rnacentral:rRNA from 1 species
UACCAGCACCCCGAGUGGUCGGGACGAUUAUUGGGCCUAAAGCAUCCGUAGCCGGCCUUACAAGUCCCCCGUUAAAACCAACUGCUUAACAGAUGGGCUGCGGAGGAUACUAUAAGACUAGGAGGCAGGAGAGGCAAGCGGUACUCAGUGGGUAGGGGUAAAAUCCGUUGAUCCAUUGAAGACCACCAGUGGCGAAGGCGGCUUGCCAGAAUGCGCUCGACGGUGAGGGAUGAAAGCUGGGGGAGCAAACCGG